rnacentral:rRNA from 1 species
AGAGCGAACGCUGGCGGCAUGCUUAACACAUGCAAGUCGCACGGGCACUUCGGUGUCAGUGGCGGACGGGUGAGUAACGCGUAGGUAUCUAUCCUUGGGUGGGGGACAACGGCUGGAAACGGCUGCUAAUACCGCAUGAUGACCGAGGUCUAAAGGCGCAAGUCGCCUGGGGAGGAGCCUGCGUACGAUUAGCUAGUUGGUGGGGUAACUGCCUACCAAGGCGACGAUCGUUAGCUGGUCUGAGAGGAUGAUCAGCCACAUUGGGACUGAGACACGGCCCAAACUCCUACGGGAGGCAGCAGUGGGGAAUAUUGGACAAUGGGCGAAAGCCUGAUCCAGCAAUGCCGCGUGUGUGAAGAAGGUCUUCGGAUUGUAAAGCACUUUCGACGGGGACGAUGAUGACGGUACCCGUAGAAGAGCCCGGCUAACUCGUGCCAGCAGCCGC